rnacentral:lncRNA from 1 species
UGUGAGCAGGGUCAUGUAUGGAUCUAGACAAGCUCAAAUAUGAGCUAAAUCAGACUCGGCACAGAGCUGUUUAUACCAAGCAUGAACAGAAAGUCAAAUGAGUCUUCUAUUAUAAAAAAAUACUUUUAGUUGAUUGUUACAAAAAUCCAGCAAGAUUAAGCAAAGCUCCAGGGUGCUUGCAAUUAUCCUGAAUAGAUAACUUUGUGAACUUA